rnacentral:tRNA from 1 species
GCGCUGGUGGUUCUGUGGUAGAAUUCUCGCUUUCCACGUAGGAGGCCUGGGUUCGAUUCCCAGUCAAUGCA